CGCCCCACCUUCACUUCCUUUAUAGGAAAGGAGGACAGAAUACGAUAGAGCUGCAGGAAAUAUUUUAGCUAGAGAGAUUGCGGCUGUUCCUAGAUUUCCUGGAGGGGAGGGACAUGAAGGUUAGAGGUCGGCUCGUGUGGAAAAAUGGUGGCGCGGGAGGAACUCCGCGUGGUUCGCUGCGGCGGGAGCUGGUUGAGCGGGUGUCGCGCGGUGUUUUCUGCGGAUUCGAAGUAUCUCCUAUGUGCUUCAGGUGACUACAUUAAAGUCUAUAGUACACUUACAGAAGAAUGUCUACAUAUCUUACAAGGUCAUACCAAUCUAGUGACAGGAAUCCAGUUGAAUCCUCAAAAUCAUUUACAGCUUUAUUCAUCGUCUCUAGAUGGCACUAUUAAACUCUGGGAUUUUAUGGAUGGAAUUCUUAUCAAGACAUUUGUUGUUGGGUCUAAACUCUUUGCAUUUUACACCCUUGCAAGUUUGGAGAAUUCUGCGUUUAUCAUCAUUUCAAAUCCUAACGAUGAAAAAUCAGAUACGUUUCAACUAAUGACAGUGAAACUUCCAAAAACACCCGAUCAAGAAGUAGAAGCCAAUGAACUAGAAAUGGUUUUAAAUGGUGUAAGCCAGUCGCCCAAAUGUACUGCAUUUGGAAGAGAUGGUGAAUAUGUAGUAUCAGUCUGGAAGCUUCGUCUUGUUGUUUGUUUCUUCAAGAAGAAUAAGAUUUACAGUUUCUCUAUAGGUAAAAAUCUUAGAAAUGCUUCAACCAGCUAUUUCACCUGUGUAGCCUGUCACCCAAAGGAAGACUGCAUAGCAAGUGGACACAAAGAUGGCAAAAUUCGUCUUUGGAGAAAUUUUAACCAUAAGAGAGAAUAUACAUUUUCUACAAUGCACUGGCAUCACAAUGAAGUUAUCGAUCUUGCUUUCUCUGUAGAAGGCACUAGCCUCUUGAGUGGUGGGAUUGAAUCAGUGCUGGUUCAGUGGCGAGAUGGGUCAGAUGCUAAAAAGGAAUUCUUGCCUCGUUUAGGGGCCACAAUACAGCAUAUCUCUGUCUCACCUGAUGGAACUCUUCUUUGUACUUCACAUUCCGAUAACAAGAUAGUAAUCAUACAUAGCAACCUGAAAGUUUCUGCAGUAAUUCAAGGAUUAAUCAAAGGCAGUGAUGUCAAGACUGGUUUGAUAGUUGAUCCAAGAACGAAAGCUUUGGUUCUAAAUGGCAAGCCUGGACACCUGCAGUUCUAUUCACUGCAAAAUGAUAAAUUAUUGUACAAUCUGGAUGUUGUGCAGCAGGAGUAUAUUCAUCAGUCGGGUCUGGACCAGAUUGACUUAAUGAAAGCUGCAUUUCAUUCCAAAGGCGACUGGCUGGCUACUGUGGAACAACGGCAAGGAAGCGGCAGUGAGAUUGAGAUGCAGCUGAAGCUCUGGGCCUAUAGUGAGCAGACCCAAAGCUUUACUCUAAACACACGAAUAAAUACACCACAUGAGGACUGCAUAACAGCGAUGUGUUUCCGUGACACAGAUGGCUCUGAAAAUGUUACUCUGGUAACAACCAGCAAUGAUGGACACUUCAAGGUCUGGAUGCUGCUGAUGGAUAAAGACAGUGAAACAGGUGAAAGCGUAACUUGGACCUGCGAUUUUGUGGGCAGCUAUCAUAAUUAUCAAGCUACAAAUUGCUGCUUCUCUGAAGAUGGCUCUUUACUCGCUGUUAGCUUUGACAAAACGAUCACCCUGUGGGAUUCUGAAACGUGGGAUUUAAAAUGCACUUUCUGCCAUCCUCCAGGGACUAUAACGAGCCUAUGCUUUGGGAGGCUCAUUUCUUCCAAAUAUCUUCUUGGCACCACCAGCAGUGGCUUUUUGUGCUGCUGGAACUUGCUGAAUUGUUCAUUGGAAUGGAGUGCCCAGUUACAUGUCAACAUUCUUCAGCCUGAUCAUCUGUCUGAGAAUAUUGUCGCAAUUUCUCAGCACUCAGAAUAUUCAGAUGUGUUUGUGUUCAAGCCCAGCGAACCACGGCCCUUGUGUAUCCAAAGGAAUGUCUGCAAAGGGAAAGUCCAGUGGGCUAUCUUUGUUCCAAGAGAUGUUCCUGAAUAUAUUACCUCCGAAAAAUAUCAGUGGCUUAGCCAGUCUCAGUUUUAUUUUCUCACUGAAACGCACGAAUUAAUGACUUUUAGCACAAAGACCCCAGAAGAGAGACUUACGCCUUCCAGUAGACAGGUAUUAAUUUUCAUAGCUAAAUGACUUAUGAAAUGAAUGAAAACCCUUUUUUGAAUGCUGAGUCAUAUUAAAAUAUUUCAGUGUCUUAAGGCAAGGCCUACCUCAGUGAGUGUCUCUGAAUCCAAAAGGCUGUGUCAAAAAUUUUUCCCCUGCUCUAUCUACAACACUAUCUCUUUUCACAUUGUUCUUAAUUUUUCAUGUCUCAUCACAGGACACCUAUCUUUCACCUUCUUUGGCCAGGAUAGUAUUGAAUCUUUUUCAUUUAAGAUGGCAAACACUAUGGAAAAAGUUGAGACACCCAUCUACAUGGUGGAUACCAAUAAAGAUGAAUAGUGAGAGUUGCCAAUUAAGUUUUGAAUGCUUAAGUAAAAACGAUAUCUGCAGAUAAUUUUAGCUUUGUUUUAGUUGAAAGAGUGAAGGUUGCUUGGAAGAAAAUACUGCAUCCAAGGAUUGAUCCAAGAUGGGUAUGAUAUUUAAUUUUUCCAAAUUAAAAAUCUACCUUAAAUAGUAUAAAUAUAUAUUAUAAUUUACAAUUGGGUUAAGAUAAAGCAAUUCCAAAUGACAAUUGGCCUUCAUCUCAAGGAUUUAUAGUAUCUUUAUUGGAGUUUUGGGGCUCUUAAAAAUCACGGAGAAGGCACCAAGCUGGUUAUGGAUUGCACCAAUCUUCUGGCCAGGUAUUGCUAAUUCAACCUUGCCUUCCUAAUCUGGUACCUCCUAAGCAAGUUGAAGGAUGCUUUCUACAAUUCCCUCUGCUGGUGGCAUAGUUGAGAAACACUGGUAUAGAUAGACACUCUAGUUCCACCAGGAUACAAAGGCUGACCUAGUUAAUGACUGCCUAUCAUCCUAUUGCACCUGACUGCUGAACAAGCAUAUGCUCCAAAGAUAAGUUACUGUUUUCUUGUUUUGUAGCACUUCUGUUCCUGUGCUUGAAAAUUAUUUGCCUAUGCCUUAAUGUAGAUGUGGUUGUUUUUCCAUCUCCUUCUUAGUUAGCAGUUGAGGAGAACAUUUC